rnacentral:rRNA from 1 species
UAAUACGUAGGGGGCGAGCGUUGUCCGGAAUUACUGGGCGUAAAGGGCGCGUAGGCGGCCUAUUAAGUUAGAUGUGAAAUCCCCGGGCUCAACUUGGGUGUUGCAUUUAAAACUGAUAGGCUUGAGUGCAGGAGAGGAAAGUGGAAUUCCUAGUGUAGCGGUGAAAUGCGUAGAUAUUAGGAGGAACACCAGUGGCGAAGGCGACUUUCUGGACUGUAACUGACGCUGAGGCGCGAGAGCGUGGGGAGCAAACAGG